GCCGCAGGGGCGGUGCUUCUGUAACCAGCAAGGGCGGGUGUCCGCCAGGCCUUAGCGCUUCCUUCUUUCUGCUUGUUGUGGUCGUUACGGAGGGAGGGGAAGGAAGAGUAGGACCCGGAUGCAGCCUCUCCAUCGCUAACAGUAGUAAUUAAGCAAUGCCUAUAGCCAGCUGUUCAGGCAGAGGGCCCUUUGUCAUCAGCCCCUGCUUCACAGGAGAGCAGGUGCCAGCAGAGGGUGCAAGGAGACUCUUCCUGUUCCCAGUUUUGGUGCCCAGUAGCCUGGCAAUCCCACCAGCCAGGAGGAACAAUAGCAGGGAAAGUCCUGCUCAUUCCCCGCAGCCUGGAGAUGGAGGAUGCUCAGUCACUGUGGUGAUGGCACAGCCUGUCCGGUCACAUAUGGGAGAUAAGAAGAGGACAGAGCAUGCUGAAUGCAGAUGGAAUCUGGUUUGCACAUGCUCAGCAGAUAACUGGGCUAAAUUUGGGGAGACUUACCUCAAGGACAGUAAAAAGGACAUCUGACACCAGGGCGGCUCCCCUGCCAAAAUUCGAGCCCUUGAUCCCAAGCCCAGAGAUUAGGGUUGCCAACUUUCUAAUGGCACAAAACUGAACAUCCUAGCACCACCCCUUCCCCAAGGCCCUGCCCCUGUUCACUACAUUCCACCUCCCUCAAUGGCUCGCUCU